UUAACUCAAACAUUCCAGAGGCUUCAUUCAUCAUCAUCACCCAUUCUUCUUCUUCCCUCUCUAUUCAAUUUCAAGACAUGGAGAAAAACUUGGGUUCUUGUAGUUUAAGCUCAAAUUAGCCAUCCUCUACCUAUUGGAGCUUUAAUCAAAGAUUCUACACGUGGGCGGAUUGGAGAAUUAGAAGAAUUGGAAUUAAUCAACGGACUAUUUUAUAUUUUGCAAUUGGAAAAUUUGAAUUUAAGCGAUCGAGUGUUUUCUUUCAGGAUUAACAUAUGACGAUGUGGUCGAGCUUCCAUUCGUUGUUCCGGAAGUCUCAGUUAUGGGAGGUCUUAUUCUUCUUAGAGCUGCAGUAGUCAUGAUAGUAGACCUAGCUAGUAGCAGACGAUUUAUGUUUAUAUUAUGACCUGCUAAAAUGAUGUAUUUUGGAAAAAUGAAUUAUCCAGGGAUUUAAUAUAUGGUUAAUUGGUAUUUUAUA